CUGAGCAGGGCGGGAGGAAGAAGAGGAGGAGGAUUCCAGUUGGAAAAGUCUUUUAGCUCAUUCCCAUCUCCCAGCCCUUCUCCGUCUGAGCCCAGACCAGCUCCAUGCGCUUCAGUUAUAUGGGCGGGAGCGCGCAGGGGGGCGCCGGGGGCGCGCAUUAAAGAGACAGUCCGGGGGCUUUAGUUUGGGCCUUCUUUGCGUCCCCAGGGAGGCGAGGAAGGAGGGGAGGGGGGACAGUGUAGAGGGGUCUUUGUCAAGGGAGGGGAGAUUCUACCGAGUUUCUAAAGGGUAGCACCGGAACAUGUGCCACUUGGGAUAGUCUACACCAAACAGAUCCUCAGGACUUCUCCGUAUGUUGACGCCUGGGUCCACGCUCCGCAGCUUCCUCCUCGGUAUGGCACCUUUCCCUACUCUCCUGGAGUCCUAGGCUACCCGCUUUCUCAGCGUUGCAACCGAAGAACAGAGGCCCUGGGGCCAGGUUGGCUGCACUCGCUCACCCGCCCUCCUGGAGCUUACUUAGCCACAUCUCUGAGGACUGAAAGGUCCAGUGAGAGGCCAGGAGAAAGAUUAAGGCAGGGCCACUGGCUUUCGUGGACACACUGAAAUGUGAAGGGGAGGACCGCGGAAAGAAAGAAUUCACGAAAAAGUGCCCGGAGCGGUGCUGCUGCUCUGGGAAGGUGGGAGAGGUGUCUGUUCUCUCCCUGAUGUACCAGGAGGCUUCUGUCUGACCCCCAUCCGGCCCAGUUUCCCCUUACACUUGGGCCAGCCUGAACUUAGUUCUUGUUCUCCACCUUCCUAGGCCCGAGAAGCCUGUGGGGCCCUGGGGACUGUCCAGGGAGAGCCUGAGAGGGGCGAAGACGAGCACAAAAGGAUGACUCCAGCCUGUGUCUAUAAAUGGAUCCACAGCAUCUCAGGAGCUAUCCUCAAGCUUCUCUGCCUGAUCCUCAAUGAGUGUAUCCCACGCCUGCAGUAGGGAGAUUCAGUAGUCCCCAAGCAAGGUUUACUUCGUGGCACAGAUAGCAUUUGAAGUUGCUAAUGGAAACCCCUGCACAUAGUGCUCCGGGCAACAGGUGGAUCUUUGACUCCUCUUUGGUGGUAGCCACAUAGAAGGUGGUCAAUACAAACCGUUGAAUGAACGAAUGAAUAAGAUGGAGACUUUCAGGUUUAUAAAUAUUGUCUCAUUUUAUCCUCAUAAUACCCUAUGAGGUGGGUGCCAUGAUAAUUCCCAUUUUACAGAUGAGGAAAUCAAGGCUAGCAGAGAAUGAUGAGGGGCACAGGUACAUACACACAGAGAGGAACUCUCCCUGAGCUGGGGCCUGGGAAGGGGAAGAGGCACCAAGGAGCCACACAUGUGUACAGUUAAACACACACACACAUCCAGACACAUUGGCCUGUAGACCGCCAUCCAGUGAAGAUGCAUACCAACUCUCUCCCUUCUCAUUGCCAAAGCCCCAAACUGUAUUUUGGCUUUUCUUGGAAAGUUGAAAGCCCAAUUCGCUUCUAGUCCCUUGGUCUCCCAAGCAUGUGUUACUCCUGUGUCCAGAUGAAUCCUCCCAUUGAGUCCGGGCCUGAAUAGAUGGGUAAGCUGGGGAGGCUGGGGAUAGAAGACUAGAGAUCUCAUAGUGACACCUGGUGGACACAUCUCACAACAGCAGCUCAACUUUGGUCUCCUCGCCCCUACAUCAUCCUCAGCUGGACUCUAGGGGCUGACCUGGAAGUUGGAAUACGACUUCCUAGAAGAGUAAACUUGCAUUCUGGUUUUCUCCCUAAGCCAGGCUGGUUGCCUUUUCCGGGAUCUAACACCUAAGGCAGUACACAGCAGUUUUUGUCCAUGGACUAAAGUUGGGGGGAAGGCAAGGGAAGCCUACCUGGGGUGUGGUCACCCAUUGGAGAACCUUUUACAUUUCAGCACCCCAGGCAAAGUCUCAUUUGCUCCAUCCUAGUGACAACUCUACGGGGCUAAGCAAUUGGCCCUGUGCAGACUUGGCUCAGGGACAGCACUUCAGAGUGGGUGAUGCCUGAGGCUGGCUGGUCUUGAGCCUCCUAAUAAGCUUCCAGGUGGAAGUCAGGGAUUCCUGGGUUAGUCUCAUU